rnacentral:rRNA from 1 species
UGGGGAAUUUUGGACAAUGGGCGAAAGCCUGAUCCAGCAAUGCCGCGUGUGUGAAGAAGGCCUUCGGGUUGUAAAGCACUUUUGUCCGGAAAGAAAUCCUUGGCUCUAAUACAGUCGGGGGAUGACGGUACCGGAAGAAUAAGCACCGGCUAACUACGUGCCAGCAGCCGCGGUAAUACGUAGGGUGCAAGCGUUAAUCGGAAUUACUGGGCGUAAAGCGUGCGCAGGCGGUUUGCUAAGACCGAUGUGAAAUCCCCGGGCUCAACCUGGGAACUGCAUUGGUGACUGGCAGGCUAGAGUAUGGCAGAGGGGGGUAGAAUUCCACGUGUAGCAGUGAAAUGCGUAGAGAUGUGGAGGAAUACCGAUGGCGAAGGCAGCCCCCUGGGCCAAUACUGACGCUCAUGCACGAAAGCGUGGGGGAGCAAACAGGAUUAGAUACCCUGGUAGUCCACGCCCUAAACGAUGUCAACUAGUUGUUGGGGAUUCAUUUCCUUAGUAACGUAGCUAACGCGUGAAGUUGACC